UUUGAGCAGAAAAUGAAAUUCGAUCUCACCGCGGAACGUAAAAACUACACUUUUCAUAAUUCGGAACGCAACUGCACCGGUUCCAAUGGUGCGAUGGAUCGGUUGGUGACGUCGCCAGUUCCGGUUAUGCGAGGUCGCAGCUGGCCGGAUGUCUCCAGAUGAAAAAGCAGACGUCAGAAUUGGGUCAUAAUUGACUUGAAGAUCCCUGACCUCAACAUAACGGAAACAUUAUUAUGUUGAGCCGGUCAGGCAUCAGCACCGGUUCCAACGGUACGAGGCUCGGUAGUCAACAACAAUUCUAACAAGGAUAGCAUCGGGAACAGCAGCACGGUGAAACUAUUUAGUGUGAACAGUGUUUUUAUUUUGUAUUUAAAAAAAAAUGUACGUCUUGUGAAUAAAAUGCUAUAAAAUCA